rnacentral:miRNA from 1 species
AUUAAGAGGAGUGACUCAAGAUCUAUUUAAGUUGGUCAAUAUUUCGGUAUUUAACCGAUGUGAGUUUUAUUCCCUUAACAUGCCCCCACAAGAUGGUGUCUCUUUUUGAGCAGACCAAUCUUGAAAUCCGUGUGCUCAUAUCGGUUAAAUACUGAAAUAUUGACAAAUUUAAAUAGAUCUUGGAUCACUCCUCUAAAU